rnacentral:snRNA from 2 species
AACCAUGCAGUGAGCACAAAGCGAACUAUUCUUUCGCCUUUUACUAAAGAAUACCGUGUGCUCGCUGCCCAAAGUGGCAUAUGCCUAUUUUUUGAGAGUCUCUUUUUUAUAGAAGGGCU